UACGUAGGUGACAAGCGUUGUCCGGAUUUACUGGGCGUAAAGAGCGCGCAGGCGGUCGAUCAAGUCGAGUGUGAAAGCCCCCGGCUCAACUGGGGAGGGUCAUUCGAUACUGAUCGACUCGAAGGCAGGAGAGGGUAGUGGAAUUCCCGGUGUAGUGGUGAAAUGCGUAGAUAUCGGGAGGAACACCAGUGGCGAAGGCGACUACCUGGCCUGUUCUUGAUGCUGAGGCGCGAAAGCUAGGGGAGCAACGGG
rnacentral:rRNA from 1 species